AAGUCGUAACAAGGUCUCCGUUGGUGAACCAGCGGAGGGAUCAUUAUCGAGUGUUACAACUCCCAAACCCUUUGUGAACCAUACAAAUUUGCUCGACGACGAACCAGCGCCUGCAACUCUUGUUUUCGCAGCGAGUAUCUCUGAGUGCACAAGCUAAAAAUGAAUUCAAAACUUUCAACAACGGAUCUCUUGGUUCUGGCAUCGAUGAUAGAACGCAGCGAAAUGCGAUAAGUAAUGUGAAUUGCAGAAUUCAGUGAAUCAUCGAAUCUUUGAACGCACAUUGCGCCCGCCAGUACUCUGGCGGGCAUGCCUGUUCGAGCGUCAUUUCAACCCUCAGGCCCCGUAUCUCUCGGGCCUGGCUGUUGGGGAUCGGCCGCCUGGCAGCCCCACCGGCGCCGGCGUCCCCGAAAUGCAGUGGCGGUCACGCUGCGGCAUCCUCCUGCGUAGUAGCACAACACUCGCACCGGAUCGCAGGCGCGGCCACGCCGUAAAGCGGGCGCGAGCCCAACUUCUUCAAGGUUGACCUCGGAUCAGGUAGGAAUACUCGCUGAACUUAA
rnacentral:rRNA from 1 species